rnacentral:rRNA from 1 species
GUGAACCUGCGGAAGGAUCAUUGUCGCAGACCAGAGCCACCGGUGAACCAGUUCUGUCACACAUAGUAGUUUGCGGGUUGUGCAUCUGGGGCCCCGAACCAGGCUGACUCGGCGGGCGUCCCCGCGCGUCGAGGGCGCUCGGCCGAGUGGUGGUGGGGCCUCUUGGUGCCUGACCGAGCGAGCGGACACCUUUUGGGCGCGGCGUGCGCCAAGGACUUGAAGCGGACUGUGCGGCGUCCCCUCCCGGUGCCUCGCCCCGUCCGGUGCGUCGGGCGUGGCUCGCGCGAGGGGUUCGGACCCGCGUCUCUGGAUCUAUAUAAGACGACUCUCGGCAACGGAUAUCUCGGCUCUCGCAUCGAUGAAGAACGUAGCGAAAUGCGAUACUUGGUGUGAAUUGCAGAAUCCCGUGAACCAUCGAGUCUUUGAACGCAAGUUGCGCCCGAGGCCACUCGGCCGAGGGCACGCCUGCCUGGGCGUCAUGCCACACCCAUCGCUCCCCCGCGUUCGACCGCUGCGGUCGGCCGGGAGGCGGAGAUUGGCCGCCCGUGCCCCGAUUGGGUGCGCGGUUGGCACAAAGAGCGGGGUCACGGUUUGGCACGACACGACGUGUGGUGGUUGAGAGGCGACUCGUCGCAGCUCGGACG